rnacentral:tRNA from 2 species
GCGGACGUAGCUCAGUUGGUAGAGCGCAACCUUGCCAAGGUUGAGGUCGCGGGUUCGAAUCUCGUCGUCCGCUCCA